ensembl:lncRNA
CGAAAAGCCGACGCCGGGCGAAAAGAGCCCGAGCGCAACGCAAACCCGGUCGCCGGAACGCCCCAGGGUGAGCCCCCUGUCCCACAAGAGGCAGAGCCCCGGCACGUCACCGGCCACGGCUGACGCGGGGGGAGGACGCGCAGUCUCUAAACCGCACACGAUGAAGGCCGAGCCGGCAGACCAAAGAACUGAGCCGCCUCCGUCUGAAUAGCGAGCGCACAGGAGGAGCCACAGGUGAGCAAGUUCCAGGAAAACGGCGUAGACAUGUUUCGUUGUGACUUUGAUUUUGGAAGUUGGUCUACAUUUGCUCCCAGUCUUCCACUGUGUUGGUCAUCUGUUUUUUUUUUGGGAACUUAAAGCCGGGUCAUUGAACCGCUCACUAACACCACCGACUGCCGAGGACGCUGGCAUGCAGGACCACAAGGCGGCUUGGAAGUUGUGCGCACAAACGGGCUUUGUCGUGAUACUUUCGUCCGUUGGCUGUGGAUUACUGCGCUCACGCUGGUCCCGAUCCAUGUACUGUAACAGCGUUUGUGCUACGAGCUAUGCCAUCUCUGGUAGGACAGACCAUGUGACAGGAAGUAGUCUUUGCCACGUUCACGUCAGCCCACUGAGUAACACGUGUGAUGAAGGGAAGCCAUGUUUUUCUUCUUCAUCCUGACGUGGUUUUGAGCUGGAACACAAAUCAGAACCACUUCAAUGAUAAAAAGGCAAAUAGUAAAAUAUCAGAAUGUGAUUGACAAACAUAUUACAGUGUUAGAAGGUGUUUAAUAUCCCUUCUCUUGCCACCCUAUCCCCGUCCAUCUUUAAACCACAGGUGAGACGGGUUGGCAGGGGGCAGAAAACCGAUGAAUUGGCCAUUUUUGUUCAUGGACCAGGUCCAUUGGCUCCAUCAAGCUCACGGGGAGAGAUGUAACUGUACGUCAGGACCUCAGUAGUUCACCAUGACAAUUCCCUGUUAUCGUUUAAGAUCAUUCUUUAUAUUCCGUUGAGAAAAAAAAAAAAUAGACAAACGAAACAACGAUACGUGUCUUAUGCCACUUUCUUUAAAGAAAGGGCCAACAACUAAACGCAAGGUCCAGUUCAGUCAGUCGGUAUAUGAUUCCCGAUGAAGAGCCUCGUCACCAUAUUUGGCUCAGUUGUUUUCUCUUUGCAGGGGAAUUAUUCAUUCAG